AGGUAUUGGAAGUUGUCUCUAAUGGUUUCAUCCUGACAAAUCUUCUCAUCCUCAAGCUCACCAAGCUUUUGUUAAGUUGAAUAAAGCAUUUAAAGAUUUACAGGAUCCUGAGAAGCGAAAAGCACUAGAUGACAAGUUAAAGGAAAAGGAGGAACGAGAAGCAUUUCAGAUAGAGCUGAAAGCAAUGCGUGAAGCUGCUCAAUGGAGACGUCUUCAAGGUUUA